rnacentral:rRNA from 1 species
UCCCGUUGAUCCUGCGGGAGGUCGCUGCUAUUGGAAUCCGACUAAGCCAUGCAAGUUUAGGCCUCGCAAGAGACCGGCAUACUGCUCAGUAACACGUCAAUAAUCUACCCUACAGUCAGGGAUAACCUCGGGAAACUGAGUAUAACACCUGAUAAGUGAUUAGUUCUGGAAUGAUUUUUCACUGAAAGGCAACGCUGUAGGAUGAGUUGGCGGCUGAUUAGGUAGUUGGCGGGGUAACGGCCCACCAAGCCUACAAUCAGUAAGGGCCAUGAAAGUGGGAGCCCUGAGAAGGUCACUGAAACACUGGACCUAGCCCUACGGGGUGCAGCAGGCGCGAAACCUUUACAAUGCACGAAAGUGUGAUAAGGGGAUUCCAAGUGCUUAGCUAUGCUAAGCUUUUGCCAAGGGUAAAUACCUUGGAGAAUAAGUGGUGGGCAAGACCGGUGCCAGCAGCCGCGGUAACCCCGGCGCCACAAGUGGGGGCCAGAUUUAUUGGGUCUAAAGCGUUCGUAGCCUGUUUGGAAAAUCCUUUGUGAAAUCGUCAGGCCUAACCUGACGGAUGGCAGAGGACACUACCUGACUUGGGACCGGUAGGGGUUUGGAGUAUUUUGUGGGGAGCGGUAAAAUGCAAUAAUCCACAAAAGACUACCUGUGGCGAAGGCGCCAAACCAGCACGGUUCCGACGGUGAGGAACGAAAGCUAGGGGAGCGAUCCGGAUUAGAUACCCGAGUAGUCCUAGCUGUAAACGCUGCGAGCAAGGUGUCGCGUAUUUUACGUGAAUACGCGGUGUCGAAAUGAAGAUGCUAAGCUCGCCACCUGGGGAGUACGGUCGCAAGACUGAAACUUAAAGGAAUUGGCGGGGGAGCACUACAAGGGGUGCGGCGUGCGGUUUAAUUGAACUCUACGCCGGAAAUCUCACCAAGAGCGACGGCAGGAUGAAAGUCAGAUUAAAGGUCUUACUUAACGAGCCGAGAGGUGGUGCAUGGCCGCCGCCAGCUCGUGCCGUAAGGUGUCCAGUUAAGUCUGGUAACGAGCAAGACCUGUACCCACAAUUGCCAACGAGCCGUAAGGUGAUUGGGCACAAUGUGGGAACUGCGUUGGAAACAACGAGGAAGGUGCAGGCAACGGUAGGUCUGUAUGCCCCGAAUCCCUUGGGCUACACGCGCGCAACAAUGGUAGGGACAAUGGGACGCAACUCUGAAAAGAGAAGCUAAACCUCUAAACCCUAUCCAAGUCCAGAUUGAGGGUUGUAACUCACCCUCAUGACGUUGGAAUCCCUAGUAAUCAGACGUCACUAUCGUCUGGUGAAUAUGUCCCUGCUCCUUGCACACACCGCCCGUCAAACCACUCGAGCAGGGCUUAGGUGAGUGAUAUCUAUUAGGCUAUCCCAAACCUAAGCUCAGUGAGAUGGGUUAAGUCGUCACAAGGUA